rnacentral:rRNA from 1 species
CCUACGGGAGGCAGCAGUGGGGAAUAUUGGGCAAUGGGCGCAAGCCUGACCCAGCAACGCCGCGUGCAGGAAGAAGGCUUUCGGGUUGUAAACCUCUUUUCUGAGGGACGAAGAAAGUGACGGUACCUCAGGAAUACGCCACGGCUAACUACGUGCCAGCCGCCGUGGUAAUACGUAGGUGGCAAGCGUUCUCCGGUUUUAUUGGGUGUAAAGGGCGAGUAGGCGGGAAGGCAAGCCAGAUGUGAAAACUCAGGGCUCAACCCUGGGCCUGCAUUGGAAACUGGUGUUCUUGAGUGCUGGAGAGGCAAUCGGAAGUCCGUGUGUAGCGGUGAAAUGCGUAGAUAUACGGAGGAACACCAGUGGCGAAGGCGGAUUGCUGGACAGUAACUGACGCUGAGGCGCGAAAGCGUGGGGAGCAAACAGGAUUAGAUACCCUAGUAGUC